UACGUAGGGUGCGAGCGUUGUCCGGAAUUAUUGGGCGUAAAGGGCUCGUAGGCGGUCUGUCGCGUCGGGGAGUGAAAACUCAGGGCUUAACCCUGAGCCUGCUUCCGAUACGGGCAGACUAGAGGUAUGCAGGGGAGAACGGAAUUCCUGGUGUAGCGGUGGAAUGCGCAGAUAUCAGGAGGAACACCGGUGGCGAAGGCGGUUCUCUGGGCAUUACCUGACGCUGGAGGAGCGAAA
rnacentral:rRNA from 1 species